CCUGGUGGCUCAGAUGGUAAAGCGUCUGCCUGCAAUGCGGGAGACCCAGGUUCGAUCCCUGGGUCAGGA
rfam:Ovis aries breed Texel chromosome 10, whole genome shotgun sequence.